AUGACAGAGAAAGCUGGGAAGAGCUGCCAUCGGUCAGAAUUUACUUGAUGGCAUGCAGCAGUGAUCAUGACGAGAAUUGUUCACUGCACUGGGGCAGACAGCAAAUCCUAUGGUCCAUACAGGAGAAGAACAAAAUUCUUGAAGGAUCCUCAGUCUUCUUCUCCUAGAAAGAGAUGGAGGUGUUUUGGAAAACAGGGGGGUCACCGAGGCUUCAGCUGUCUUUUGCAUUGCUUUCAGCAAAUCCGUGACCCGAAAACACCUGAACAAGGCAAACCUUCUCAGCAGACAAUAAAUAAGUCAGUCUAAUUUAAGACUCAGAGCAGUGCAGCACACCCAGAAAUUGAAUUGGCUGCUUUCCUCCUUUGCCCAAGGUUCCUUUCCUGCUGGUCAGGGAGACAGGUGCUUCGAAUUAUUUCACUUCUGACUGGUAGGUUAAAGGGAAGCAAUCACCUUGAUUGCACAAAAGAGAUCCCAGUAACCAAUUUCUUUGUGUGUGUGUCCCUGACAUCCAAACUUCUCCUCAGGCAAUUACUUGCAGAAGGUCUCAUUGGUCACCUAUUAGUCAUGGGGAUGUUAUACAAAAGCCCAAAGCAACCUGCAUAUCUUUCUUGGUCUGCCCUUAAUUUCAUGUUGAGUGUCACUUCAGAGUUAAGAAAGAAGUCUGCAGUGGCCUUGAGUAACAGCUGAAGGUGGAAGAUUGUCUGAGGUGGAAAACUGCUCAUUGAAGACUACAUUCCCAGCAAGUGCUUGAGGAGAUCAAAGUCUUAUUUGUCC
rnacentral:lncRNA from 1 species